CUCUUUCACCCAAACCAGGAAGGACUGGAGCAGAGGCCAGGCACGAGCCACGGCAGCCAGGAACUUGUCCAUCGCCACGUGGACCUCGGGAGUGAAAUCGUUGGGAAACACGGUGGCCAGGACCACGAGGAGUACCUUGAAGUUAGCAGGGUCCACUCUCAGAGUGAAGGCGUGCAGCUCACUGAGGCUCAGAAGACCACCGGU